ensembl:lncRNA
GGAAGAGAGAUUUUAGCUUCAUGUGUCUGCCUUUUCUCACUCCUCAACAAGCUUGUUGUCAUUGAAAGGCUUUGUUAACCCCACAGGCUGAGUUAAACCUGGUUGUAUCCUGUACCAGCCCCACCGGAGGCAACAUGCUGAUAAAGGUUGUCUGAAUUCAUCCCACCUGACUUCCAGGUUUUAGGAUAGAACCCAAAGAUCACUGAACCACCAGUGGAAAGAAACAAGCUCUUCCCAAGAGCGAAUCAGGUUCUAUUCAUCAGUUGCAAGUUCUGUGCCAGGAUGCUGGCUCUUUGUCCUCACAGCUGGGGCAGCUCCCCACAGGCAGCUGGGAGGAGGCCUGGACAGAAGAGUGCAGCCUCUCCUAGGGCCUGCCUUCCUCUGGAGGAAAUCCUGGCUUCCAGGGAGGAAGAGAGCUGCACCAUGCUCCCAGAGAGACUGUGUGAAUUGUGAGGUGCACCACAAAGUUUGGUUGAUGCUUUGGUGGUGAGAUGUAGUUCAUAGAAAUCAGUGUAAUGAUUCCUAAGACCCUUUAUGGCUCCAGACCCAUCUACCAGCAUCUUUUGCAGUUGACCUGGGUGUCAACCCAGACAUGGCAUCGGAUAUGGCCGUGAUGUCAUUCUAACCCAGGCUAGAUAAUCAUGCCCAAAUGUGUGAGGUAUGGGGAAAGGUAACUGAAAUGUUACCUGAAGUGAGUACCACGCAACAAUGAGAAUACAUAGCAUAUUUACUUUGAGGUUUGAAAAUAAAAAAUACUUGCAGCAAGCCAAUUUAGAAUAGCAUUUUUUUACAUCGAUAAAUAGUACAAGAUUUUUGUUGAAAAUAAUUAAGCACUGCAAUUGCACAUUAUCUUUACUGCAUGAAGAGAGAGGUUAGGCAUCUCCAAAGCUCUGGAAGAUUGUUCUGUCAUUAUGUCACAAUUGAUCAGUAUUUAAUUGUUUUGCUUGAGGAUUUUUUGCCUCUUCUCUACAUGAUGAUUUCUUUCGGCACACAAAUCAAAACUAUUUAUCAGCAAAAGUUACUAAUUUCUCUCAAAGAGAUUCCUUCUGAGUUUUCAUGCUGAGACACUGGUCUUGAUUAACUUUCUUCUGUAAUCUAUUGAGCUUCCGGUGGCUGAUUUAAGCAUUAAAUUUAUCCAGUUUAAGUACUGAUUACUGCAGACUAAAAGCUUCAUCCAUAUCAAAGACUUAUCCCCCCCACCCCCACCACCCCAAGGAAGAAAUUUAAAAGCCCGUUAAAAUGCCCUUCCUUUUUCCAAGGAUGUUACUGAAAUAACUUGGUGCUAAGAAUACAUGAGGUCUGUGUUGAGCUAAAAUCUGAAAGCUGGAACUGAGACAGAUGCCCCCAGAUAGUCCUAAAAAUCUUCAACCGGAUAUUCAGGUUUGAAAUCCGCUGCAAUCCAAAUACCACCACAGCCUGGGGCACUGAUAUUCAUCAUUCUAGUUCUAAUGAGCGCAAGGGGAGAAGGGAAUCAGCUGUAUUGGAUCUGAAUCCAAAUUCUCCUGAGGUGUCUUUGAAAUUUUGGGGGGAGAUGAGAUGGAAAGGAUGGUAAUGAAGUGAUAGUGAAGUAGCAAAAGUAAGUAAACGAUUAAGAUACGAAGGUAUAGUGACAACAGUAAAGCUGCAAGUGUGGAAAUAGUUUUCAUUUCUGAUACUCUCCCUGUAAAACGUCUUUUUCUAGUUUAUUAUCACAUUUUCUAUAUCUUUAUAGUUAGUAUGUAUCAUUUGGCUACAGAAGUACAUAAAAUAUUUGGAAUUAUUGAAUUCAUUUUUUUUUAUGUACGUGACGUGACCAAAAGUGACCAUGGGGUUCUCCAAGGGAGCUUCAGAAGCCCUCACAACAACAAAAGCCUUUCUGAAGACUGCAGCAGAACUGGAGGCCCUUCUGCCAUGCUGUGUCAAGUGCAAUGGAGAUUACUGUACUUUCAGCCACUGAGGUUGGACUUAGAAGCCUAAAGCAUCAAGUUACCAGCCAAGUGAAAAGGCAGUUAUGUACAUAAUACCACAGAGAGACCCUCCUUGCACUCUAAGUUGUUCAGGUUUCCAGCUCUGGUCUGGGAGAUGUUUUGAGAAAAUGAUUGUAUUUGAAACAACAACUGUUGGAGCGGAGGGAGGCUCGGCUGUGCAACUGUUUUCAUCUGGCCUUACAGCAAAGUGUGUGUUCAGUCUUGCAGAAAUCGUAACCUAAAAAACAAAUAAACAACAACAAC